rnacentral:lncRNA from 1 species
UUUUUUUUGGAACUUAUUCAAAAUCCACACUCCAGAUGUCCGACCAUGUCUUCGUGGAGACUAUAUAUAUAUAAAAAAACGCAAAAGCAAUUAAGCAAAAAUAUACCUAUAUAUUUACAACUCUAGGAAAUGAUUUUAACAUGAAAGUAUACGAGGAAUAUUGAGCCAGGGCAUCAUGCCAAGAAUGGUAACAGUGCAGCAUGAUUUCAAGGCAACAUUCUUGAGAGUCCAUUCAAGAGGUUCAAUGGAGAAUUCUUUUAAUGCAUCCAUAACUAUAAGCACAUGUUUAGGAACAUCUGAUGACCCCAUGAGUGUCAGUUGAAAGUUGAAAUGUAUUUUCUUCCCCAAGUUGUUCUCUUCUAUAUUAGUAGCCAUGGCCUCCAUUUUAAUUAUUUCUUUUCUUUUUUUUUUUUUGAAGGAGAACGGAAGGGAUUUGCUCAAGGGCUUUCAGAUAGUUAUAUAGAAGUUUUCAGGAGCUGAAGAAGAGGAAGAAUGAAACAGGAAUAUAAUUUGUUCGAUGUUAACAAGAAAUGCUUUAUAAAACCUAUGAUGUAAAAGAACAUCAUGCAAAGAAGCCAAAUAAGUUGCCUGGUUUGAGGUGAUCUCCUUUCUCUUUGUUUAUUGGAGAUUCUUGGAUCCCAACUCUUUCUUACGACAAGCUCAAAAAUAACUCUGAACUAAGCACGUAUUUUACUCCUAAAACAAAUCUAACACAUAGGAAAGCUCCAUUGGUUUUCUGCAUUCUAAAGAGGUUACAUCUUUUUUAUUAGUGGUUUCUUUUGCACAACCAGUAAUUUGAAGUUACAAUUAUUUUUUGUCUCAAAAUUCUAAAACUUGAUUAUUCAAAUAUUCAAGUUUUAGAUAUUAACCACAAGUAGGCAUUCUGGUUUUGAAAGCGCGAGAUUUGGACAACUUUAAGUUUUAAAAAAACUCCUAACUUUACUCAAAGACUAAUUAGAUAUUGAGAAUUUGUGUCAACUAGUUUGGAAUUAAUUUAUGAAAUUUAACAAAAUUUAUGAAUGAAUAAAUUAGUGGCACUUAUGUAGUACAGAAAUUAAAAGUUCCUACAAAAUCUCGCUAGGUAUAUAAGAGAUUAUAAUUCUCAACUGUGAGAAUAUAACAUAAAACUCUUACUCUGCACUAUACAGUGGAACUCGGAAAUAUAAACAACAAAAUAACAGCUGCUAUUAUCUAAAAACUACCCCUCAUGUUUGUUUGAGGAUACAGAUCAAGACCCUAUUCCAUUGGUUCAGAUUUUCCAGUUAAAAAUUUCAUGAGAUACCAAAAUUAUUAGUGUUAUUGCCAAAUGUAACCUGCUCAUCUUAGGCUUCCAGCCGUUACAGUACGAAACACAGAGCCAAGGCUAGACCUCCGGCGACCGGUAGAACUACUAUCAUCUCUACUUGGAGAUACAUCCAUUCUUCUCCUUUUCUUGUUAACAGAACUUCCACUGUGUGACCCGCCCAUUGCAGCUAGUAAUUGCUGGGCUCUAGACCCACGCAUGCUUUUCUUUAUCAGGGUACACGCCUGCUUUCUUUCCAUAUUCUGCUCUAGCUCCUUCGGCAGUUGCUUUUUGCAGGAAACCCAGUCUGCUGUUCUUAGAUGAGGACGGGGAAUAUGGUAAUCAUUUUUUGCAAAUGAAAACCAAUGAUCUCGCACCAGCUUCUCUAUAUUCACUAUAGGCAACAAGUCUAUAAAAAAAAAUAGAAGUGCAAGAUGAGUUUACCUGGGGGAUCUUCCCGAUAUAUCUCUGGGCUCGGAGAUCUAGACGGCGUUUUGGGUGUGAUAUAUAUAGUUCUGCUAGGUGCACCGGGGUCCAGAGUACUGCAGUUUUCUUUGAGUAUUGAAGGAAAAGACACUUUAUCCACUUCAGGUGACUUGGGAUGCAAAAUGUUACUUGCACCAUGUGGUCCAGGAGCAGACCUCGUCUGCACAUUUUCCUUUCCGUCACUAUCCUGAACCUUGUUGAGAGAAUUGGGAGAUAACUCAUUUGCAGCAUCAUUGGAGCCUUUGACACAUAAAGCCCGCGGAUUUGGCGGACGCGGAGAAGUAACACAGACAACAUCUGUAUUAUCUAAAACUGACUUGGGAGAGGUGUUCAGUAUGGACGGAUCUAUAAAGGGCUUUUGCACUUCAAUAAAAUCUGAAAACCAGGGAGUGCCCCUCUUUGCAUAAAACAGAACAUAUGCUUCCUGCGACAAAACAAAAUCUUCUCCAACCUGAAUAACCUAUAAGUUUAAACAAAUAUCAAGUCAGUUCAUCAUAAUCGCUUGUGCUACCCUUUAUGCCAGGAGAAUUGCAGAGUACUCUAACAAAAAUAAGCAUUGACGAAACGAUAUUGAAUGCAGCACAAAAACAAAAUGGUUUCUGAGUUAGAGGCACCAGACUAUUGAGAAACAGAUUAAUCCUACAGUAAAAUCAUUAAGGGGUCAUUUGGUUGGAAAGAAGUUAUCCCAGUAUUAAUUAUACGGGGAUUAAUUAUCCCGGUAUUAGUUAUUUCACCUUUCCAUGGGAAUAAAAAAACACUGCAAUCCCCGGAUAACUAAUCAUGGGAUUAAUUAUACCGUAAUUUUUUCCCAACCAAACAUGGGAUAAACUUUUAUUAAAUUUAGUCCCGGGAUUAAUUAUUCCUUAUCCCCCUACCAAACGAGCCCUAAAAGAAAGUAGGAAGCUUGAUUUGCAGUAUAUUACAUACCUUUGAGUCAUCAAAUUUGUACCAUUCAUUUGGAGCAGAGCGAAUAAAGCUGUAAUAGUGCCCAGAAGUGUAUGAAAAUCCUACAUGCCUUAUAACUGCAUAAAGAUCGUACUUCAUUUCUUCCUGUGCACCGGAAGGAAAAUUAAAAAUCAUAUACAGUUCCAGUUAAUAAAGAUUAAGCAAAAAGAAAGAAAGAUCUUAAAUUAAAAAUAUUAUAGUGAAUUUGUACACAACAUUUUCCCUGCUUAGACUCCAUUUCCUAUCUAAUAUAAACAAAGGAGGAAAAUUUAAAUUCAUUUUGAUAAAAUACUUCUCCCAAGCUAUUAGCUACAAGCCCUCCAAAAUUCCUUUGCAACAAAAUAUAUAUAUAUUGUAAGAAUCCCAGAAAUUUCAGCUACUAAACUUAAGUAUGCAGGAAAAGUUUACCUCUAAAACUUUUUUUUUCUCAGGAACUAUACUAGUAUAUAUUUAAGCACUAGUAAUUACUCUUCAUCAACUUCUUUACCAGACAAAAAAAAUUCACUUUAUUUCAUCUUUUUAGACUCCUAAAAAGAAAAGAAUCCCUGCAACACUAAUUCCUAGCAUAGACUCAGAGUAACAGGAACUCACAUUAUCACUUUGGUUGUUAUCAGCAUAAGCAUGCAAGUCCAAUUCCAGUGGAAAUGAAACAUAUUUGUCAAUCUUCUCAACAAGAGAACCAUCAGUUUUGAAUCUCUUCAAAUGAAGGGCAGCAACAGAAGGGGCCUUAUCCAGCACAAGC